GGGGCAUUGGCUCAGUUGGCUAGAGCGCUGCGUUCGCAUCGCAGAGGUCGCGGGUUCGAGUCCCGCAUGCUCCACAA
rnacentral:tRNA from 1 species